GUGAGGAAUAUUGCGCAAUGGACGAAAGUCUGACGCAGCAACGCCGCGUGGGGGAUGAAGCACUAUGGUGUGUAAACCCCUGUAGGUUGGGACGAAUGGCAUGGAUUCGAAAGGGUUCAUGUGUGACGGUACCAUCAAAGUAAGCUCCGGCUAACUCCGUGCCAGCAGCCGCGGUAAUACGGGGGGAGCAAGCGUUGUCCGGAAUCACUGGGCGUAAAGGGCGUGUAGGCGGCCACAUAAGUCAGAUGUGAAAGGUCUCGGCUUAACCGGGGAAGUGCAUUUGAAACUGUGUGGCUUGAGUGCGAGAGGGGGUAGUGGAAUUCCCAGUGUAGCGGUGAAAUGCGUAGAUAUUGGGAAGAACACCAGUAGCGAAGGCGGCUACCUGGCUCGUAACUGACGCUAAGGCGCGAAAGCGUGGGGAGCAAACAGGAUUAGAUACCCCAGUAGUCC
rnacentral:rRNA from 1 species